UUGAAAGGGAAACGAUUGAAGUCAGUCGUACCUGCGGGUAAUCAGCCUUUUGGGUGUGAUUAUGUGGAGCGUGAGGAGCUAAACACCCUCAUCUUUGCAUAUUCGUGCACUUUGGGUGUACUUGCUCGUGUGGUAGGUUAACAUCAAUUUUGAUCGUCAUAAAAUGACUGGAGGAAUGUAGCUUCGAUCUCGUAUUGAAGUGUUAUAGCCUUCGGUAGAUGUGAUGAUUAGGAUUGAGGAUUGCAACGAACCCUUCGGGGCUACCUGUCUGAUCUCUGAAAGUUGCUUUGGUGUUGAAAGCUUGCUUAUGGUAUCAAAGUUGACGUUCAAUAGGUUAGAACGGGAUAAAUUCGUUAAGGAUGUUGACGUA
rnacentral:rRNA from 1 species